GUCGUACCAGGUUUCCGUAGGUGAACCUGCGGAAGGAUCAUUA
rnacentral:rRNA from 1 species